UUAAAAAGCUCGUAGUUGGAUUUCUGUCCGAGACGGCCGGUCCGCACUUAGUGCGUGUAUCUGGUUCGGCUAGGGCAUCCUCUUGGGGAUCGUUUCUGUGCUUUAUUGCAUGGGGCGGAAUUCAAGACUUUUACUUUGAGGAAAUUAGAGUGUUCACGGCAAGCAAUCGCUUUGAAUACAUUAGCAUGGAAUAAUAAUAUAGGGCGUAAGUUCUAUUUUGUUGGUUUCUAGGACAUACGCAAUGAUUAAUAGGGACAAUUGGGGGCAUUCGUAUUAACGCGUCAGAGGUGGAAUUCUUAGAUUGCGUUACGACGAACUACUGCGAAAGCAUUUGCCAAGGAUGUUUUCAUUGAUCAAGAACGAAAGUAUGGGGAUCGAAGACGAUUAGAUACCGUCGUAGUCUAUACCAUAAACUAUGCCAAUUAGAGAUUGGAGGUCGUUCGUUUAUGGCACCUUCAGCACCUUAUGAGAAAUCAAAAUUUUUGGGUUCCGGGGGGAGUAUGGUCGCAAAGCUGAAACUUAAAGGAAUUGACGGAAGGGCACCACCAGGAGUGGAGCCUGCGGCUUAAUUUGACUCAACACGGGAAAACUUACCAGGUCCAGACAU
rnacentral:rRNA from 1 species